AUGAAUUAAACACAAAUAGGUGUGCGUAUUUUCACUUAAUAGAGGAAUUAGGUUUAAGGCCUAAGCUGUCCCAGCAACCGUAGGGUGGACGAAGUUUCAUAACCACUGUGACUUGUCACGGGAAGGGAAACUAAGAAUGAAACCGAGCCGGUAGACUUGCCUAUUGUAAAAGUUAAGA
rnacentral:ncRNA from 1 species